ACCACAUGCUAUACAUUCUCGCUCCGUAUCCACUGCACACGACUUUUCGUUUUCCAUCUCUCAAAGACCUUGUCAAUUAUCUUCGUGUUCUGCAACUUCUCUCUUUCUGAAACUAUUAACAUCCACUUAAUUUUUUACUUUUAAUUUCAUCUAUAACACCAAAUUGCUGUAAUAUUUCCGCCCCUUUUAUCCAAACUGCGUUUUCUUUUAAAAAUAGGAGCAAUAUAGUAAUUGUUUGAGUCUUGAGCAAGAACUAUAACGGCGGUGGAUCUUGAUAAUACAUGAGACCA
rnacentral:lncRNA from 1 species